GCGGACCUCAUCAACACCAGGGGCUCCGCCACCAAGGAGUUGUUUACAGGGUGAUUUUGCAUCUAAACAAAAAUAAAUAAAGUACAAAUACAUGAAAAUUCUACUGAAGUACUUCCACCUCUGGCCUCAGGUGUACUGUACCUGAGAUAGUGGCCUAUGUGCACCUAAUUGAGUGUCAGCCAUGUUGAAUGUGUGUGUUUCCAAGAGGAGAAAACCAGUUGGUAGCAAAGGCAGGAAGGAAGUGUCCUGUCCAGCUAAACAGAAGAGGAAUAUAAACAUAAUGAAGGGCACAGUUUGAAUCAGUCCUAUUCCAUUCAAUAAAGUGGUGACAGAUCCAGGAUUAUUCCUAGACAUCAGCCGUGUGAUCCACAUGUGGAUUGAAGUGUGUAUUUGUGAAAAUGUUGGACUGUUCCUUUGUCAGUGUCCAACAGUAUUUUGGACGCAUCUUUUAACAGGUACGAGAAUCCAUGAACACAUAACUCCAAUUUUAGCCAAACUACAUCAGCUCCCUGUUAAAUAUCUCAUAGAUUUUAAAAUUCUUUUCUUCACUUUUAAAAUUCUGAAUAAUUUACCGCCCAGCUAUCUUUCUGAACUACUCCAUUUAUACAAUCCCAACAGAGUACUUAGAUCGUCCAAUCACAGGUUCCUAGCACAACCUAGGUCUCGAAUGAAGACCUUUGCAUCCGUGGCAACUAGACUCUGGAAUAACCUCCCUGUUCAUAUUCGUACUGCCGAGUCUAUCCAGUCUUUUAAAUCAUGUCUUAAAACUUAUUUUUUUACUUUGGCUUUCGAUUCUGACUAGUUGGCUGGUCUAGCUUGUUGUGUUGUUACGUAUUGUUUGUUGUCCCCUUUUAUUGUUUGUUUUAAUUGUCUCUGUUUUUACUGACUGUGAAGCACUAUGGUCAACACUGUUGUUUUAUUUUGUGCUUUAUAAAUAAAUUUUGAUUUGAUUUGAACAGUAUGUGUAUGAGAGCCAUGUAAUGUCCAUGUGUGCAUGCUGACUGUGCUGCUCUGACCCCCCUCCUCCUUUCAGGGUGGAGCCUGCUGGAGUCCGAUGGUUGAGACCAGGUCUGAGGAAGUAUUCCUGUCAACUCACAAUCGACACAAACACAGUGAACACAAAGCUCCAACUGUCUGACAACAACAGGAAGGUGACACGAUGUGGAGGAGGUUCAGUCAUAUCCUGAUCAUCCAGACAGAUUUGAUGUUUAUCCUCAGCUGCUGUGUAGAAAUGGUCUGACUGGUCGCUGUUACUGGGAGGUCGAGUGGAGAGGAAACGUUUUUAUAUCAGUGAGUUACAGAAGCAUCAGAAAGAAAGGAGGCAGUGAUGACUGUGUGUUUGGA